CAAUACCGCUGACGACCGGCGCACGGGUGAGUAACACGUAUCCAACCUUCCCAUAACUCGGGGAUAGCCUUUCGAAAGAAAGAUUAAUACCCGAUAGUACUUUUUUAGGGCAUCUUAGAAAAGUUAAAGAUUUAUUGGUUAUGGAUGGGGAUGCGUUCCAUUAGAUAGUUGGUGAGGUAACGGCUCACCAAGUCUUCGAUGGAUAGGGGUUCUGAGAGGAAGGUCCCCCACAUUGGUACUGAGACACGGACCAAACUCCUACGGGAGGCAGCAGUGAGGAAUAUUGGUCAAUGGGCGAGAGCCUGAA
rnacentral:rRNA from 1 species